rnacentral:rRNA from 1 species
AUUGAACGCUGGCGGCACGCCUAACACAUGCAAGUCGAGCGGUAACAGGAUAUGUAGCAAUACAUGUUGCUGACGAGCGGCGGACGGGUGAGGAACACGUAGGGACCUGCCCAGAAGAGGGGGAUAACCAAGGGAAACUUUGGCUAAUACCGCGUAAAACUCGGAAGAGGAAAGCUGCCGCGAGGUGGCGCUUCUGGAGGGGCCUGCGUCCGAUUAGCUAGUUGGUAGGGUAAAGGCCUACCAAGGCGAUGAUCGGUAACUGGUCUGAGAGGACGGCCAGUCACACUGGGACUGAGACACGGCCCAGACUCCUACGGGAGGCAGCAGUGGGGAAUAUUGGACAAUGGGGGCAACCCUGAUCCAGCGAUGCCGCGUGAGUGAAGAAGGCCUUCGGGUCGUAAAGCUCUUUAGGUUGGGACGAAGUGUGGAGGAGGAUAAUGCCUUUACAUUGACGGUACUAACAGAAUAAGCACCGGCAAACUCUGUGCCAGCAGCCGCCGUAA